rnacentral:rRNA from 1 species
UGGGGAAUUUUGGACAAUGGGCGCAAGCCUGAUCCAGCAAUGCCGCGUGAGUGAAGAAGGCCUUCGGGUUGUAAAGCUCUUUUGUCAGGGAAGAAACGGCCUAGGCUAAUACCUUGGGCUAAUGACGGUACCUGAAGAAUAAGCACCGGCUAACUACGUGCCAGCAGCCGCGGUAAUACGUAGGGUGCAAGCGUUAAUCGGAAUUACUGGGCGUAAAGCGUGCGCAGGCGGUUUUGUAAGUCUGACGUGAAAGCCCCGGGCUCAACCUGGGAAUUGCGUUGGAGACUGCAAGGCUUGAAUCUGGCAGAGGGGGUAGAAUUCCACGUGUAGCAGUGAAAUGCGUAGAGAUGUGGAGGAACACCGAUGGCGAAGGCAGCCCCCUGGGUCAAGAUUGACGCUCAUGCACGAAAGCGUGGGGAGCAAAACAGGAUUUAGAUACCCUGGUAGUCCACGCCCUAAACGAUGUCUACUAGUUGUCGGGUUUUAAUUAACUUGGUAACGCAGCUAACGCGUGAAGUAGACCGCCUGGGGAGUACGGUCGCAAGAUUAAAACUUAAAUGAAUUGACGGGGUCAUAGCUGUUUCCU